rnacentral:rRNA from 1 species
GAACGCUGGCGGCAUGCCUAACACAUGCAAGUCGAACGGUAACGCGGAGAGCUUGCUCUCUGGCGACGAGUGGCGGACGGGUGAGUAAUACUUAGGAAUCUGCCCAGUAGUGGGGGACAACCAGGAGAAAUUCUGGCUAAUACCGCAUACGCACUACGGUGGAAAGUGGGGGAUCUUCGGACCUCACGCUAUUGGAUGAGCCUAAGUCGGAUUAGCUUGUUGGUGAGGUAAUAGCUCACCAAGGCGACGAUCCGUAGCUGGUCUGAGAGGACGAUCAGCCACACUGGGACUGAGACACGGCCCAGACUCCUACGGGAGGCAGCAGUGGGGAAUAUUGGACAAUGGGCGCAAGCCUGAUCCAGCAAUGCCGCGUGUGUGAAGAAGGCCUGCGGGUUGUAAAGCACUUUCAGUAGAGAAGAAAGCCUAGGGUUAAUACCCUCGAGUCUUGACGUAACCUACAGAAGAAGCACCGGCUAACUCCGUG